AAUAUUGGACAAUGGGGGAGGGCCCGCUCCAGCCACCCCGCGUGCAGGAAGAAGGCCGUAUGGGUUGUAAACAGCUUUUUUACAGGAAGAAACCACCUUACGAGUAAGGUGUUGCUGAUACUGUAUGAAUAAUCAUCGGCUAACCCCGUGCCAGCAGCCGCGGUAAUACGGAGGAUGCAAGCGUUGUCCGGAUUUAUUGGGGUUAAAGGGUCCGUAGGCGGGCAUAUAAGUCGGAGGGGAAAUCCGACAGCUUAACUGUGGAACUGCAUUUGAAACUGUAUGUCUUGAGUGAGAUUGAGGCAGCUGGAAUGUGUAGUGUAGCGGUGAAAUGCGUAGAUAUUACACAGAACACCGAUGGCGAAGGCAGGUUGCUAAGUCUUUACUGACACUGAUGGACGAAAGCGUGGGGAGCAAACA
rnacentral:rRNA from 1 species